AACGGGUGGUAAUGCCGGAUGCUCCAGUUGAUCGCAUGGUCUUCUGGGAAAGCCUUUGCGGCAUGGGAUGGGGUCGCGUCCUAUCAGCUUGAUGGCGGGGUAACGGCCCACCAUGGCUUCGACGGGUAGCCGGCCUGAGAGGGCGACCGGCCACAUUGGGACUGAGAUACGGCCCAGACUCCUACGGGAGGCAGCAGUGGGGAAUAUUGCACAAUGGGCGCAAGCCUGAUGCAGCGACGCCGCGUGAGGGAUGGAGGCCUUCGGGUUGUAAACCUCUUUUGUUAGGGAGCAAGGCAUUUUGUGUUGAGUGUACCUUUCGAAUAAGCACCGGCUAACUACGUGCCAGCAGCCGCGGUAAUACGUAGGGUGCAAGCGUUAUCCGGAAUUAUUGGGCGUAAAGGGCUCGUAGGCGGUUCGUCGCGUCCGGUGUGAAAGUCCAUCGCUUAACGGUGGAUCCGCGCCGGGUACGGGCGGGCUUGAGUGCGGUAGGGGAGACUGGAAUUCCCGGUGUAACGGUGGAAUGUG
rnacentral:rRNA from 1 species